GACGAACGCUGGCGGCGUGCUUAACACACGCAAGUCGAACGGAAAGGCCCGCUUGCGGGUACUCGAGUGGCGAACGGGUGAGUAACACGUGGGCAACCUGCCCUCAGCUUCGGGAUAACACUUGGAAACAGGUGCUAAUACCGGAUAAUAACCUUUCAUCGCAUGGUGGUUGGUUCAAAGUUUUUCGGCUGAGGAUGGGCCCGCGGCCUAUCAGCUUGUUGGUGGGGUAAUGGCCUACCAAGGCGACGACGGGUAGCCGGCCUGAGAGGGCGACCGGCCACACUGGGACUGAGACACGGCCCAGACUCCUACGGGAGGCAGCAGUGGGGAAUAUUGCGCAAUGGGCGGAAGCCUGACUCAGCGACGCCGCGUGAGGGAUGACGGCCUUCGGGUUGUAAACCUCUUUCAGCUCCGACGAAGCGCAAGUGACGGUAGGAGCAGAAGAAGCACCGGCCAACUACGUGCCAGCAGCCGCCGUAA
rnacentral:rRNA from 1 species